GAUUGUCUGUGUCAUUCAAGAAUGAGCACAAUAUGGAGCCCAUGGACUUGGACAUUUUGGUCAUUGGACUCUUGGUACAGCCGUGCUUAUAAUUCAUAAUAGACGCAAUUUUAGUUAUGUUAGAAAGUAAGUCAAAUUUAUUUUAAUUAUUUAUUUAGUUAUUUCGACCAUAUCCAGAUGUGACUUGAAUCCAGAUUUAUUGUUAGGUAAGACUUCGUUCUCAGCAUUUGAACACCUUGAUCAAUUUUAAUUCUUAACUAAUAAAAUUACAUUUUUAUUUAAGAAAAUGUUCUAUUCAUUCAAUUUUUUUAGAACAAUAACACGUACUCUAGAUAUUGCAAAGAGUUUACUAUCAAGAUUUCACUCUCACGUUAGGUAGGGAAUGGUGUCCCUACAUCAUGAUUCAUGUGUAUUACAAUUAAUUUCAGAUUAUAAAAUAGUAAUUUUUUUUUUUAUUUGGGGUCAUCAUGCAGAAAAUGAAAUUAAAUGAAGGAGAGAUUGUAAAUAUUCUUGAAUUUAUUGGCCACAUAUAACGUAUUAUAUUGUUGGUUAAUCAUUUUAGAUUGUUAUUUCUUGAAUGUUCUGAAUUAAGGAGCUUUUUUCCUUGGCAGAUUAGUGGCGGCAGGUAAGAUUCCAC
rnacentral:lncRNA from 1 species